GGAAGAGAUCUGCAGUUAAGCCAGGCUGGGCUUGCAACAGGAUGGGUAAUCACGGAGUUGGCUAUUAAAAAAGACUGCAGAGCCUUGAGAGACAGGAUUGCAGGAUACUUGAAGCUCAUCAGGUGAGGGGGAGUUUCGGGCAAACUAGAGAAGACUGCUCCCCCUGCUGAUGGAUUCGUACCACACCCUUUAAUGAUGUGAAUUCGAUCCUGCCAAGCCAAAGCAUUUUACGGCGCUUGUCGCUGUAAUCUGGAACGCGCCCAGCUGCAAUACUACUAAUCACCCAGCUGCUGCAUUAAACCAUCAGGAGGAGAAAAACAGGAGGUGGUGGGGAGGGAGGGAGUUGAAAGUAGAAGCUGCCUGUGUUAAACAGGGACAGUUGGAGCAUAUGGAACUUGAAGGGACACAGAUACUGAUGGAUUGCUUCACAUAAGCUUUGAAUUACUGCAGAAGACAAGGGCAGGCGUCUGGCACUAGAAUGACCCUCAGGGCACAACAAAGAGUCUUGCCUACCUAGCAAUUGCCAACUAACUUUUACUUGGGGCUGUGCUUCGGAUCUUCCAUCUAACUUACUUGUUUUGUAAAAGCCUUGCUGAUCUCAUGACAUCCAUGAGAUGGAGGGAAUCCACACUCACUGACAGAUGCCUGCAAGGAACUCAAGACUGCAAGCUAAGGACCAGAGGAGUUCAGAGGGCUAGUACAUGCCCCUCCUCCCUUGAAUCAGCGUUUGGAACCAUCAGUUACCCACUGUAACCUUUCUAAUGAGUUCUUUGUGAAUAAAAUCUUUCUUA